GGUCUAAACACACCUAAAACUCCAAUGUUCAUCGCUAGCUGGCGGAAAAGCUCGUCCAGCAGAUCCAUCUCGAAUGAGCACCGCAGCAGCAGCAUGGUAGAUAGAGGCGGUCAGGCGGAAGUGCUGCAGUGGAAACGGCCGGACGAAAUUCUGCGGCUGCACGGUUCAAUGAGAAACAGAAAGCAUUGCACUUGCAGGCACGGCUUCAGUGGCCGUAUAGUCGUCAACGGACCGAGGGAUCAAUGCUUCAGAACCGUGUGAGUCCGGAUAGGAUCAAUUUGCCGAAAGUCAGAAACGGAAAACCGGUACAGGAAAGCCUGAAAAAGAUGCUGCUGUGUGUUGAUUCCCAGCAGCUGGAACUGAACUCGAUAUCAUCGACAAUGACCAACAGGAUGCUGCUUUUAUAAGGAUUUUAGAAUUGUUCCCUCGUCUGACAAAGCUUUUUGGGUCGAUACCUUUUUACAACUUGGUAUGAUGAUGGUACCAGCGAGAGAUUGUUAACGAAUCCCUUACUGUUCGGCGGUUCUGUACAAAAUUUGGAUCAAGUUUAGCUGAUUGUUAACGGAUGAGGACAUGACUGCAGUCACAUGGGUCUGGAUUUGUUGGAGUUACUAUACUGAUGAUUAGCGUUAUGACGAAAUGCAGGCGGUCUCGAUCCAGAAAAUAUUGAAUAACAAAAAUUGUAGAAGCCAUCUCAAUAUGAGCCAUUUGAAGAACGCGGUUCAGUACUAUCGGUGUGGAUACAACAGCACAUAUGUUUUAUGUUGGAUUUGAAGGAAUGGAAGCCGGACGCUUGUGGCUUUGGUAUGCAAGCAAUGGUUAAUAAUCUUUUUGGAUAGGAUGGGAUGAAAAAGCUUGUAGGAUUUAUGUGCAAAACGGCUCUGGUUAAUGGAGCUGAGGCUAGCAAUGAAUCGUUUGUCGGAAUUUGUAUGAUUCGUUGGCUAAUCUGUGACAAUUGAGACGGAGAACUUAAUUUGGCCGAUUUCUUGUUUGGCAAUGUCGAUGAGCAGGGUCGACUGGAAAAUGAUUUUUUGAUGAAAAGUCAAAUAUCUUUAAUUUUUUAAAGGAUGGAAUUUUCGUCUCUGUCGGCUGAUAUUCACACGGAUUGCACUGAAAAACACGCUUACAACUAUGACGAUGAUGAUGCAACAUCCGGUGAUGAUAUUCGCUAUGAUGCAAGAAACCUUGAAAAAUAUGCUGCUUUUAAAUGUAGUUGAAUCUUUACAACGAUUUUCAAACCGUCUUAUGUUAGUUACCUGCACAGUUUUCAUGUGUGAUUGAAUCAAGCAAGAGGUAUUGUUAAUUUUUUUUUAACGAAGUCAUUUUAAAAGACGAAAAAUUGUACAUAUUGAUUAUUAUACAACAAUUUAUUACAUAGUGAGUCUAACAAUUUAUUUGAAAGACAAAUUGAAAUACAUUUUAUUUAAUCUACGUGUAAUUUAUGUUGCAGUUUAAUUAAGUAGUUUCCUUCUCCGUUAUUAAUUUUCAAGUGUUUUACCAUAGAGGAAUUAACUUGUACCAUUUCAAUAGAAUCCUGCUCUGACAUUAUUUGGUUGACAUUUGUAUUGAUGAUAACUGUUUUUAAAGGGGAAUACAAAAUAAAUUCAUUUUCAUUAUCUGUCAAAAUUGUCUUGAUUUCUCCAUAGACUAAAUUAGUUCCUUCAGAGUAAGAGAAGUAGCAGUCAUUGUGAAUUUGUCUGUUUUUUUGUUCUUGAAAGGGUUUGUACAAAUAUUCAUUUUGCUUCAAUCGAACAACUUUCUUAUACAGUUUUUCUUGUCGUGUGCUAUCUUUUAAGUUAAUAUUUAAAUCAGUAGUUUGAUCGCUUAUUUUGGUAUUAAGGAAAAAAAACUGUAUUUAAUCUGGAGCAAAACUCUGAGACUUAUUUAUGCGGUACUUUGUU